rnacentral:lncRNA from 1 species
GUGUCAAACAUAUGUCAUUUCCUUCACACUUUGUAUACAUAAAAACUCGACCUCUACCAUCACAGGGCACUCUGAAGCAACUCCCGACUGAACAGGGCAAUCAUGCAAUUCUUCGCUCUCUCCGUGGUUCUGCUACUUCUUGGCGCAUGCUCAGUUGAAUCCGCCAGAAUAGAGAAACGUGUCACAUGUGACAUUCUGGCUCAGCUGAACAUAAUGGGCAACUCCGUUGGUAGCGCCGCCUGUGCAGCCCAUUGUCUGUGGAAGGGAUACAGGGGAGGCUCCUGUAACAGCCAAGAUGUCUGUGUCUGUCGCAGAUAGAUGACACAAAACUGAAACUGCACAUGCGCACCAAGGCGUAAUAAAAUCAAGAAGUUGCAUUAA